rnacentral:rRNA from 1 species
CUUAUCAAUCUGAGCAUACCUGAUCAGAUCUGGAUUCAGAAGCUAAAGAGGAUCAGGCCUGGUUGGUAUAUGGAUGGGAAAUCCCCAGGUAGGGCAAGGAAAGA